ACCACCACUGCCUCGUGAACAAGUCCUGGGUGCCUGGUGCCUCCUCUGCAGCUCUGCUCCAGUGACACCCUUAGGAGGAGAUCCCUGCCAAACCAGACAAUGGAGGGAGGAGGAGAGAAAACUUCCCUCGUAAGAGUUGCCUCCUGUGCGAGGGGGGAUUUGGGAUGCCCACAAUGCAAAGCGGUGCAGUCAGCUUCACGACAAGAACCAGUGUUUAAAAGGACUUUGCUGCUGGCCCAGGAGAAGCUGGAUGAAGAGAAUCUAAAGAGGUCUGCUGGGAGAAGCCAGCCUGAGGUCUGUCCAGUUACAGCUGGACUUGGAUGCCCUGGAAGAGGAUUGAACUUUUAAGUAACCUGGCUGGAGGGCUAGGCCAUGGAAGACCCAGACAGAGGCAACAACCAAGGAGAAGGCCCAGCAACACCACACUCACAAGGAAGCACCAGCCAGCGAGAUGCUUCUGUGGCAUAUGAGGCUCGCUUGGGACGGGACCUACAAACAUACAUGCUAUGGACAUUCAGGGACUUAUGAUCAUUAGUGGGGACAGAACUCAGGUCCUUCUGCUCCAAAAGCAUAGCCCCUUCCCUGUGUCACGAACUAAUGGAGAGUGUCCCUUUAAGUGGAGCAGCAAACGGUUUAUGAGACAGACUUGUGCAUGUCUAGCAUUCCACCCAGUAAAGGAGCAGGGAUGCAUGCCUAAAAGCUAGCAUGUUACAACUUAAAGUUGAGAUUUUAUACUUCACAAGAAUCACAAAUUCAGAGCUGAGGCUCCUACCUUAAUCUCCCCUUUGCCCCCUUUUGUACAAUUGUGGGAAUGGGAUGUUUCUUUACCUGAUCACAAACUCUGGGCAUCGUUCCAUACCAUUCAGCAUAUUAUAAGAGAAUAAAGAGCUGAUUUCCCCCCCAGGCCCGUCCAGCUAUCUGUACAUAUGUAGCAUUUUGCAUCACUUCACAUCUGCUGUGUGAUUGUGCAAUGAAAUAUCCUUGCCACCAUAACAAACUGCUUGUAUUGUGUCCCGACUUCAAUUAAUAGAUUUUCCAUACGUUCCCAUGCAGCUGUGCAGAACAGCUGGCCAUGCUGCUUUCACUGUGCAGAUGCCAGUCAUGCCUGUAUUUCUGCUUGUCAUUGCUCAGCCCUGGGGGAGGAAGGAAUGCUCUGUGGGCGAGCAGCUCUCCCAAGAGAUGUCAGAAGUGAUGAAACCCUGGCCAGUUUUUGGUUUCUUAAAGACCUAUUUAUCUGCUUUGGCCUUCUGCAGUCAUCACUGUACCUGGGGCUAUUGCUCAGUACAACUGGAGCCACAGUCUGUGUAUAUUCUGUUAACUUUCAAAAUAUUGCAGUAUUUGUUCUGUCCCUGGGAAUGGCUUUGGGCCACUGUCAGUUGUGAAGAGCUCUCUCCAAACUGAAUUUCCAGCUGGUGCUUUCUGUAGCUCACCAAACUCCUGCAACACAUGAGCUGUCGGCAAUUCUAAGAGAGCACAUCAGCUCCACCCCAAAUCUGAGCCUCUCCCAUCACUGUUCAUUGGUGUGUCCAGCUGUAACUGUCCAUCAUGAAACAUUUGAUACAUACUGAAAAAUGGGGAAUUGUGGGAAAACAUAACACCUUUACAACGGAGACCGAAAAGGAAUCGCAUGCUGGUUGACACAGCCUCCCCCACCCCCAUUCCCUCCCAGUGGGAGACCCAUGCAGAUGGGCUUUAGAGCAAGAGAUAUACAAAGCAAAGUUAUGAAUUUAUUACUUGAUAACUGUGCAGAGCAAAAAGACCAUUUGAAACACUAGGGCCUCCAGGAGGAAACUGGGAAAGGUGUAACGUGUGCGUGGGGCGUUUAAAAACAAGAGUAUUUGUCAACUGGCUUAUUGCACUGGGAAGAGGGGCAGAAAUUAAUUUGCUUCCCAAGAUACCGUUUCCACAAGCUCACCAUUGUCAAGCGGCUCAUACAACAGAUGACUCUGGGACUCACCUGGCGGCAUCAAAGAAGCCAGAGGAUAGAUGACAAGUCAUCAAAGUUAGCAAGAUGAUCUCUGACACCGAGGAAAUGGAGCUCAGCGAGACUGAAAUGCUGACAGGCAGAGCCUUGAGAGGCAAGCAAUGGAAACACAGAAUUUCUUAAGACAAAGGCUUUUAGUCUUCUACUCUCGUGUCUGUAACUGAAAAGGCUUCGCCCUAGUUAGGCAAGUCCAGGGGCAGGCUAAGACCUAGGGAUAUUUUAAUACCAUUUUUCUUGAGUUUCAUUGGAUAUUCUCAUACAUUUGGGAUUUUUAAAAACACUUCUGGGUCUGUGGCUGUCAGUGAGCUAAUCUAGUACAGUCCAUAGCAAGCAAAACAACAGGCCUUUGGCCUCUGAGGAGAAGCAAGAAGAAGAUCUAGUCCCAAAUCCAGCCUUUGUUCCUAGUUCAAGGCCUACACAAGGAGCCCUCCUGAAGGGCUCUCUGUGCUCUGGCAGUGGCUGACUCAAAGAACAGGAAAAGCCUAAAGACUACAGGUAAGCCACGAGUCUGAAAGAAGGAAAAAGUUGAUAAGGUCCCAAAACAUGUGCUUAGUUGAAUCUCUUGGUGUGCAAAAUUGGGCUACAAGUCUACAGAGAACAGGCUCUCUCAUGAAAUAGAUGGUCCAUUGGUCAGUUAUUUCAGCACUUCAAAUUCUGGUUGAGGACAGAGUGCAGGAGAGUUAAAAGUAUUUUUAAAAGGGAAUCCAAUUAUUUGAACCUCAAAGAGUUGGUUUUGGCCAGUUCUUAUUUCACCAUAACUAGUUCUCCUAGUCACAUCAAUGACAGCAUAAUUUUAUUCAUAUCUACUUCCUCCUGCUGCUUCAGUCUGACCAUCUCUGCUGCCCAGUGAAGGCAUUGGUGUUGGCCAGAGCUGGAGGAAGCCUAGCUCCUUUCCUCCCUGCUAACAGAAUUCACUCUCCAGUACUUGUUCUACGAGUAAUCAGACACCGCACAGAUCAUUCAAGCACCAAUCAGCCUACUCCUCUGAGAUGGGGCAAAUUUGGUUGUCUACCUUAUUUUCAGAGUAGCAUAGUUAAAGUGCAGGAAAGGUUCAUUAGUAGCACUAUUACAGCAGCACCUAGAGGCCCCAGCCAAGAUCGGGGACACCUGGUGUGAGGCACAUAGUAAGAGACAGCCCCUGCUCUGAAGAGAUUACAUUCCACAUAGACAAAGGCUGGGAAGAAAGGUAGGUUUGGCCUUGUUGCAGCCACAGGUGAGACAGAGGUUGGGCUUCUUCAUAAUGCAAUGAUAAUACGCAGCAUGCUGACUGCCUGGGAAAGGAAUUCACUGACCCAUGCAUUGCAAUGCCUGAUCUUUCACCCUUCUACCCUUGUAUGAUCAUAACCCACAAUCCCCCCCUCCUUUUAAAAGGAGAUAAAAAUUUAGUCAUUGGUCAACUUUUCUACCUUGCUUUUUCUUUUGAUCUCAAAUGCUAAUAGGAAAACAAUUGGGAAACCCAGUAAAUUAAAAGUUAAAUGGAUUCAUGUUGUCUUGAAAUGGCAAAAAUAUUCCAACUAAGUCACCCUUUGAUACCAUCUAGCACCAAGGACAAUCGAUUACCCAGAUGAAGGAUCUUUUAUUGGCCCAGGAGCUGGAUAUACCAAACUACUCAACAAAAAGUUCAGAAGAAGUGGAAUCCAGUAUUAUGCUCAAUUAUAGAUUGUGUUCUGCUAGUGAAUUGUAGUUGCCAUAAUCUAUGCCACCCUGAGACUUCAUCAUUCAGACCCAACUCAAGGAAUGGUGUGCAGCCUUGUAAUUAAAGCCAGGAAUUUAGAGUCACGCUCCCUGGGCUCUAUUUCUGACCAUCACUGACUUGAUGCAUUACCCUGGCCAAGAUACUUCACCUCUUUGUGUCUCAGUUUUCUCUCGUGUGUAAUAAGAAUGACAAUAAUUACUACCCUGCAUUCAAUUUUAAAGCUUAUUGUUUGUACAGUGUUUUGUACAUCCAAAGCCUGUGUAAAUGCUAAGUAUUAUUGCAGUUAUUACCUUCCUCAGAAGGAGAUCAUGCAGUUUCAUAAUUAGUGUUUGUAAAACAAUCCUAGAUCGCCAGAUGAAAUGUGCUAGAGAUAUGCAAAAGAUGAAAA